UUAAGUGUUCAUCAAAAUAUGGUAAAAAUGAAAAAUAAAUAAAAAUUCAAUUGAAUUGUCCAGUCAAUUUUACGUGGGUAAUGACCAAAAUAAUAAUAAUGAGAUAUGCAUAUGCUUUGUCAGAAAAAAAAAAACACAUAAAGAGAUGGUCAGAUGGAGCUGAGAGAGCGAAAGAACGAAUGCGAGAGUUGUGGGCGUUGUGUCCAAAAUAAGAAUAAAUUCAGGUGAAUAACGUAAAACAUAAACAAAAUGGAGGGUUAUUUUGUAAUACUUGGAAAAAACUAGUUGUCCGUACGCCUGAUUCGGCUACUUGGAAAUGGGCUUAAACGUUUGAGGGCCCAACUUACAAAGUAGAUAAGCAAUGCUCUUCAUUUUUUAUUUUUUUUUCUGAAAAAUGCAAUGGUCGCAUCAUUGUCGAUUGAUGCAUCAAUCAUGAUGCCAUGCACAUCGGUUUUCCAUUAUCUCGAUAACUAUCGCAACGUUUAGUUGAAUACAUGUCUCCAAUAACUUUCAUAUGUAUAAACUAUCAAGAUUUUUUUUUUUUGUUGUCAAAACUAUUAAGAAUCUCAAUAUCGGAUGUUUCUACGGUUCUACCAAAUCCAAAUAUCAUGUAUAUGUACAAAGAAUUUUGUUGAUAUGAAUUAGGGCUGUAUAUAGGGAAUGUGGUUUUCGAUAAGUAUAUAAAUAUCGCCGAAGUGAUGAGUAAA
rnacentral:lncRNA from 1 species